UAUCUGAAAGUGUAAGAGGCACGUAAAUUUUUGAUAUUUAAAGGAAUAGUUUAAUUCUAUUUUAGAUAA
rnacentral:tRNA from 1 species